UGAGCAACCUGCCCUUGACUCUGGAAUAACAGUUGGAAACAGCUGCUAAUACCGGAUACGACCUCCGACGGCAUCAUCUGGAGGUGGAAAGCUCCGACGGUCAAGGAUGGGCUCGCGGCCUAUCAGCUUGUUGGUGAGGUAACGGCUCACCAAGGCUUCGACGGGUAGCCGGCCUGAGAGGGCGACCGGCCACACUGGGACUGAGAUACGGCCCAGACCUCCUACGGGAGCAG
rnacentral:rRNA from 1 species